GAUAAAUUUGUCAAACAAAAGUUUAAUAUGAAGAUAACAAACAAAUCUCCCGAUGGCGUCAUUUUAAAAAUCGAGCUAGGUUGAAUGUCAUUUUGACCAAACGAUGAAUAUGAUGAUUACAGGAUUCCAAAUUUCUUCUUCUUCUUCGUUCUUAAAAACCCUAAUCUCCAUUCCCUUAUUGGAGCUUUCUAUUCUGUAAUGUAUUCUCCGAUUCGAAGCCAUGUCUGACUCUAAAUCGCCGCCGCCGAUUUGGUCCAUAGUAACUCGAUCCGUUUGGUUUUACAAUCUGGAGUGUUGAGUUCGAGCUGAUGGGGUCCAUCAUAGACGACUUGCCGCCGAUUUGGUGAUCCACUGGUACUCCUAAAUCUGUUGAUCGAUCACUGAUUGGAUGUUGAUAGGAUAGUGGAGGUUGUGAGAUUAUAGGUCAUAUCAAGGCCGCCUAGCUUUCUGGUUAUGAAAGUCUACACAGGGAUGUUGACUAUAGCCUGAAAGAUUGUUUCUCAUUUUUCAGCACCCUUCUAGGGAGCAGAGUCAUAUUCGAAGAGAAGCGACGGAGGCUAUUUGGGCUAACAGAGAUUCUUAAGGUAGUUUUUCCCCUUUUGUUUUGGAAGAGUAUUUAUAUUUAACAUGGCAGGUUUGAUGCAGAGAAAUCCAUUCUGCUCUACUCCCAGAUGGUGUUACAAGUAGAGGUAGAUGUGAAUUCACGUCUUCCUCAGCUUAUUCUUUUUAAAAAGUCAUUUUGGUUAAAAUACCAUUCCGUACCUUGGUUUUUGUUUCUUAAUUUCAGUCCAUAAAUUUCCAAAAUGUCCAGAAUUUAGUUUAUGUACUUUUGACAAAUUUUAAAAUUAGUCUGUACUAUUAGUUUAUUGCUAAUUUUUUUCCAAACAAAAAUGUAUAUUAACACUCGAUCUAUAAAUUUUAGAAACAUAUUCACAUUGUUAUAAAAAUUAUUCUUAUUAUUUAACAAAUUUCAAUAAUAUUUAGCUUCAAACUAUUAAUAAGGUCAAAUUUUAAGAUUUAUCGACAGUAUGACUAAAUUUGGACAUUUAAGAUUAUAGAGGAAGGGACCUAAAUUGUGUUUUAACCAAUAAUUUUUGUUUAUUUGCAUCCAAUUGUUGGAGCUUCUUGUUCAAUCUGUGCCUAGAGGAAACCCUUUGUAUUGACACAUUUUUUUUUUAAUAUAAUGGUAGUUGAAGAAGUUUUUCUUGU